GAUGAACGCUGGCGGCGUGCCUAACACAUGCAAGUCGAGCGAUCUUCUUCGGAAGAGAGCGGCGGACGGGUGAGUAACGCGUGGGUAACCUGCCUCAUACACAUGGAUAACAUACCGAAAGGUAUGCUAAUACAAGAUGAUAUAAGAGAUUCGCAUGGAUUCCUUAUCAAAGCUCCGGCGGUAUGAGAUGGACCCGCGUCUGAUUAGCUAGUUGGUAAGGUAACAGCUUACCAAGGCGACGAUCAGUAGCCGACCUGAGAGGGUGAUCGGCCACAUUGGAACUGAGACACGGUCCAAACUCCUACGGGAGGCAGCAGUGGGGAAUAUUGCACGAUGGGCGAAAGCCUGAUGCAGCAACGCCGCGUGAGCGAUGAAGGCCUUCGGGUCAUAAAGCUCUGUCCUCAAGGAAGAUAAUGACGGUACUUGAGGAGGAAGCCCCGGCUAACUACGUGCCAGCCGCCGCCGUAAUAC
rnacentral:rRNA from 1 species